rnacentral:ncRNA from 1 species
UCGAUAGAGGCGCGGGGAGCAUCAGUAUCGCCGUCGAGUCCGCCGAGGGGCUUUGACGCGGCGCGAAAGGGAUUCCCGCCGAAAUCUGCGGGCUUCGGCAGCUCGGGGGUUGGUGAGGCGCGAAAUACGCGGUUCACUGUCACAAUGAUAUUGUGGAGCGCUAUCU